rnacentral:snoRNA from 1 species
GGCACAGAUGAUGAAAUUUAUUUUGCUGUAAAACCCUGAAUGUUUGUGUGGAUAAACCUUGGAGAACUGAGUGCU